rnacentral:rRNA from 1 species
UACGUAGGGUGCGAGCGUUGUCCGGAAUUAUUGGGCGUAAAGGGCUCGUAGGCGGUUUGUCGCGUCGGGAGUGAAAACCAGGUGCUUAACACCUGGCUUGCUUUCGAUACGGGCAGACUAGAGGUAUUCAGGGGAGAACGGAAUUCCUGGUGUAGCGGUGAAAUGCGCAGAUAUCAGGAGGAACACCGGUGGCGAAGGCGGCGACCUGGAUGGACACUGACGCUGAGACGCGAAAGCGUGGGGAGCAAACAGG